rnacentral:rRNA from 1 species
UACGAAGGGGGCUAGCGUUGCUCGGAAUUACUGGGCGUAAAGCGUGCGCAGGCGGUUUUGUAAGCCAGAUGUGAAAUCCCCGGGCUUAACCUGGGAAUGGCAUUUGGGACUGCAAGGCUCGAGUGCGGCAGAGGAGACUGGAAUUCCUGGUGUAGCAGUGAAAUGCGUAGAUAUCAGGAAGAACACCGGUGGCGAAAGCGCUCUGCUAGGCCGCAACUGACACUCAUGGACGAAAGCUAGGGGAGCGAAUGGG